GACGAACGCUGGCGGCGUGCUUAACACAUGCAAGUCGAACGGUGAAGCGCCUUCCUUUUUGGUGGGUGUGGAUGAGUGGCGAACGGGUGAGUAACACGUGAGUAACCUGCCCCCUUCUCCUGGAUAACCGCAUGAAAGUGUGGCUAAUACGGGAUAUUCUGGGUCUGUCGCAUGAUGGGUCUGGGAAAGAUAUUGUUUCGGUGGGGGAUGGGCUCGCGGCCUAUCAGCUUGUUGGUGGGGUGAUGGCCUACCAAGGCGGUGACGGGUAGCCGGCCUGAGAGGGUGGACGGUCGCACUGGGACUGAGACACGGCCCAGACUCCUACGGGAGGCAGCAGUGGGGAAUAUUGCACAAUGGGCGCAAGCCUGAUGCAGCGACGCCGCGUGAGGGAUGGAGGCCUUCGGGUUGUGAACCUCUUUCGCCAGUGAAGCAGGCCUGCCUCGUUUGUGGGUGGGUUGACGGUAGCUGGAUAAGAAGCGCCGGCUAACUACGUG
rnacentral:rRNA from 1 species